GCGCGCGCACACACACACACACACACACACACACACACAACCGUAGUGCUUUGCAUUCAGAGGAAAGCGUCAAUCUGGGCUGCCUGUGAAGUUUCAUUUAUUUAUAUAUAAUAGGAUGUACUUGAACAGUUGCGCGGUUGCUCUGCCGCUCGGACUUUUUUUGUAUUUUACAGAUUAUUUCAAAUGUAUAGUCCUAAUUCCGUGUGCUUUUUUAAUAUACAGAGCGUUUAAAAAAAUACAGAGCGAUGAAAAAUCUAAAUUUAAAAAUGGAGAACGGGCGGAGGAAAGAAGCGUUCAGACUGACCCGGUGGUCGAAAUACAACCAAUCCAGGAAUCAAAAGAAGAUGUGCUUCACUGCACUAUAGAAACAGAGCCCGAUUCAGCCCUGGGGUCAAAAUAUCCAAAAGUCAAGACGUCCCUCAGUCAUGUGUUCCAGUGUGCCUACAACCAGCUGAUCCUCUCGUGGUACACGGCACCCGAGCUCACCGACCACCAGCCUCUCUACAAGGCGUUGAGAGCAGAGUUUGAACUGGCUGUAGACCAAAUCAUCAAGGAAACUUGUGAUUUUGACUUCAGCUGGGCAGCGGUAGACUGCAUCCGUGUACUCACACAGCACAUUCACCUUGCAAAAAAAUCCAAAAGACCAUCUAUGUUUAGCACCAAGACAGAGGAACUGGUGGUCUUGAGGGUUUUUUCUAAGGCCUUGGUACGAAAACUCCUUCCUGAAUCCCUCUGGGGCCUCCAGCUGUACCACUGUGCCUUGAAUGAGAUUGUUGCCUUGAAUGCACUGGGCCUGCUGGUGAUUUGGUUUUCAGAUCCAGACAACCUUAACCAGAUGAUUGUGAAAUUUCUGGGAACAGGGAUCCCCAAAAGCUCUGAGUACAAGCAAAAUGAUGAGUCUGCAAACCAGAGUGAAAAUACCAGCCUCAACUCAUUCAGAGAUGAUUCUGAAGAGGAUCAAAGCAGUGGUGAAAAAAAGACACAAAAAAAGACACAAAAAAAGAUUUGGAAACGAGUACUUACACAACCAUGGUCUAGCGCGAAAGAGAAGUUAAAGCAGUUAAAGAAAAAGAAGAAAAAGAAGUUAAAGAAUGAGUCCUUCUCUGAAAUGUGUUCACCAGCCAUGUUAAUGAACAGCAAUGAUGGAAGCAGCAGCAGCAGGGAGGGAUCCACUGGAAGUCAAUUGAACUCUGACAAUGAUGAGUCCAUGUCUGAAGAUAGGAUGGAGUUUGAGCUGUCAUACAAGAUGUGGCAGUUUGGAGAAUGGGCUGUUACUGUUACUAGUUUUCAAAAGGAGAAUGAGCAAUCAUGCUUCGUCAUUCAUGUUGAGGAGAAAUUAGGCCAUGAGCAUCUACAGUGGGAUGUGAAGAAGACUGAAGCAGAGAUCAUUUCAUUUAUCAAAGAGGGACUCGGGAAAGAAUGUCCCAUAAAGAAAGAUGAGAACAUGGAUGAAGAAAAGACCAAAGAUAUACUAGAACGUCUCCUUCAGGAGCUGGUGUCAGACGAAACACUUGGAAAGAGUGAGCAAGUGUUUCAGUUUUUGUUCCCCUUAAACAGACUGCUACAGGAAAAUGAGACACAUGGGCUAAUGUGGGACUUUUUGAGUAACUUGUUCUACAUGCUGACUACAACACCUGAAGAAGAGAAUGUCACUGUGGAGACAGAUGUAGGGCAGGGCAUCAGUGAUGAAAGUGAACUGGAUCAUAUGGAUGAUUUUCAAAUCCCCAAGGAUAACCGUGUCUGUGAAGAUGCUAAAUCAGUUGACCAAAAGCACUCAGCAACACGCGAUGACCCAGUAAAGGCACAAGUAAUGGAUCUCCCUAUGAAAAACGUCAAAGAACCACAGCCAGCAUUGAAGGAUGUCAAUAAGACUAAUGACGGGGAUACAGUCACAACAUGUGCUAAUGAUGAUCCUUCUCCAGUAGUCCAUAGUAAUAAAAGGGAGCCUGCAAUGAUGUCAUUUACACAAUCAGACCCGGGUAGUCAUCAGUCCGUAGAAAACAAAUCAAAGAACAAUGACAAAUCACCAGAGAAAAAGCCUAAAAGGAUGUCAGACCCUAAGCAGUUGAAAAGGGAACCCAAAAAUUCAGAGGCCAUCACGGCUGCAGUUGACUUGUUAAAAGAGAUAUCUGGUAGUGUCCUUUUUCUUAAGUUAAUUGAACACAUUGCAAACACCCUUUCUCUAGGAAAGAGUAAAGUAACAAGGUUCUUGGAUGCAUUAAACCCCACCGAAGAUCAGAUGGCAGGCUACAUCGACUCCAUUUGUGAGAGUCAGUGGCCAAACGGGUUGCCUUGUGAGCCAGCCCCACCUCGAACACCAGAGGAGAAGCAGCUCACAAGAAGACAAGCCUUUGAUUUCAUCACCAAAAAAAACUCAGAGUGGGGUCUAAAACUUCUCAUCAGCAAGUCAAAUUUGGAGACAGUAUUUAAGAUCUUUCAGGAGACUGAGGAGAACAAGAGGCUGGUUUAUAUGCUGCUGUUUGACCUGUUACGCAAGUUCUUACCUGAAGAGACUGCUCUGAAUGACAUUAGCAAGCGUUAUGUGAUUGAUUUUUCAAAAGGGAAGGAAAAACAAUCAUAGGUCAUACUUAAGUGAACUGUCAGCAGAAUACACAGUGCACACAACAUUUUAACUGCUUUGAACCCAUCACCCUCGGUGAGCAGUGGGCAACGGUGCUGUGUGGGGACGGUGCUUUGCUCAAUGGCACCUUGGCGUCUUGGGAUUCGAACCAGCAACCUUCUGCCGCUAGGCCACCACUGCCCUAAUAAUUGUAGAGUUUGCUUUGUUAGUGAUAAUAAAAUUGAAUGUAAUAAUGAAUUCA
rnacentral:lncRNA from 1 species